rnacentral:rRNA from 1 species
GACGGAGGGGGCUAGCGUUGUUCGGAAUGACUGGGCGUAAAGGGCGCGUAGGCGGUUUUUUAAGUGAGGCGUGAAAGCCCUGGGCUUAACCCAGGAGGUGCGUUUCAUACUGGAGAACUUGAGUGCGAGAGAGGAAAGUGGAAUUCCUAGUGUAGAGGUGAAAUUCGUAGAUAUUAGGAAGAACACCAGUGGCGAAGGCGACUUUCUGGCUCGCAACUGACGCUGAGGCGCGAAAGCGUGGGGAGCAAACAGG